AACACGAAGUGAGUGGCGAACGGGUGAGUAACACGUGGGUAACCUGCCCAGAAGUAGGGGAUAACACCUGGAAACAGAUGCUAAUACCGUAUAACAGAGAAAACCGCAUGGUUUUCUUUUAAAAGAUGGCUCUGCUAUCACUUCUGGAUGGACCCGCGGCGUAUUAGCUAGUUGGUGAGGUAAAGGCUCACCAAGGCAGUGAUACGUAGCCGACCUGAGAGGGUAAUCGGCCACAUUGGGACUGAGACACGGCCCAGACUCCUACGGGAGGCAGCAGUAGGGAAUCUUCCACAAUGGACGCAAGUCUGAUGGAGCAACGCCGCGUGAGUGAAGAAGGGUUUCGGCUCGUAAAGCUCUGUUGUUAAAGAAGAACGUGGGUAAGAGUAACUGUUUACCCAGUGACGGUAUUUAACCAGAAAGCCACGGCUAACUACGUGCCAGCAGCCGCGGUAAUACGU
rnacentral:rRNA from 1 species